CCAGCAGAGUCGGAGUGAACCUACUGUAAGACAACAUCUCCAAGAUGCUAUUGACCACAAGACUAGUACAGGUUAUUAGAAACUGCACAGCACAGGACUUGCAUUGACUUGUGAGGACUUCAGAUGAUACCAGUACUCAAAAGACCUUAGAUGAUGGCAACUAUAGAUGGACAUACAAACUACCGCCACUGCAAAAAAGAUUCUAAUUUGAAAGAAGUUUAUAAUGCAUGUUCGCUACUCCCAAUUCAGAAGACUGAAUCAGCCUGUGUAUCUGAAUGUUUCUCAUACUCACUCCUCUCUGCCGCGGCUGAAUUUGGGAUUUUCCUUAGCUGUCAGUUAUAAACGUCAAAAUUAAAAGAAAUAAACAUUUGAAAUAUAUCAGUCUUUGUGUAAUGAAUAAAUAUAAUAUACAAGUUUCACUUUUUGAAUGGAAUUAGUGAAAUAAAUCAACUUUUUGAUGAUAUUCUAAUUAUAUGACCAGCACCUGUAUAUCAUUGCUCUUUUGUUGAUUUUGCUUCCAUUGUGCUCAUUUGUAAGUUGCUUUGGAUAAAAGUGUCUGCUAAAUGUAAAUGUAAUGUUAAUGUGUAUUUAACUAUAUUUAUAAAUAUUUAUCUGUAUUUUUUAUUUUGUAAUAAUGUAAAUGUAUUUGUUUUAUAUCUAUACAUGCAGUUGUAUUCAUGUAUGUAUAUUUAUUUGUCUAAUUUUUAUAUUUUAAUAAAGCAGUUUAGACUACAUGAGUGUUUUCUUUAUUCUGGAUGAAUUACAUAUUCUUUUGUGUCUAGAAAGGGUUAAUAUGGGCCAUAUCUAACCCAGAAGUCAGCCACAACUGGGACGGAUCUGGGCCACAUCUCAGAAAUGGCGUGGUUGACAUCUGGGCCAGGUGUCACCCAUGCCAUUUGUGAGAUGCGGCAUGGAUCUGGUAAAGUUGUGGCUGACUUCUGUCAGACAAAACUGGGCCAGAUCUGGCCCAGAUGUCACCCACACCAUUUCUGAGAUGUGGCCCAGAUCUGGUUCAGUUGUGGCUGACAUAUGUCAGCCAGACUCAGGUUGAGUCAUCGCCGUCAUUCCGCGCGGUAUGUGGGCCAGAAGAAUAUGGGAGAUGUGGGCCAGAACUGGGCCACAUGUCAUUUGCUAUCUGGGA